GUUGUGCAGGGGUACAGAACAUGGCAUUAUGUGGCCAUGAGCACGCGCGGCGUCUGACCGCCUGUGUGCACUCCAGGUGCACGUGAAGCAGCUGCGGGCAGCGUCCACGUGUUGCUUAGAACUAUAGCACUACUGAGAC
rnacentral:snoRNA from 1 species